rnacentral:rRNA from 1 species
AGAGUUUGAUCAUGGCUCAGGAUGAACGCUAGCGGCAGGCUUAAUACAUGCAAGUCGAGGGGCAGCAGGUUUGUAGCAAUACAAAUGCUGGCGACCGGCAAACGGGUGCGGAACACGUACACAACCUUCCUUUAAGUGGGGAAUAGCCCAGAGAAAUUUGGAUUAAUACCCCGUAACAUUAUGAUGUGGCAUCACAUUAUAAUUAUAGCUCCGGCGCUUAAUGAUGGGUGUGCGGCUGAUUAGGUAGUUGGCGGGGUAACGGCCCACCAAGCCUUCGAUCAGUAACUGGUGUGAGAGCACGACCAGUCACACGGGCACUGAGACACGGGCCCGACUCCUACGGGAGGCAGCAGUAAGGAAUAUUGGGCAAUGGAGGCAACUCUGACCCAGCCAUGCCGCGUGGAAGAUGAAGGUCCUCUGGAUUGUAAACUUCUUUUAUAUGGGACGAAAAAGGGCCUUUCCAGGUCAACUGACGGUACCAUAUGAAUAAGA